rnacentral:rRNA from 1 species
GACGAACGCUGGCGGCGUGCCUAACACAUGCAAGUCGAACGGAAAGGCACUGAUUUUGUGGGGUGCCCGAGUGGCGAACGGGUGAGUAACACGUGUGUAACCUGCCCUUGACUUUGGGAUAACUUCAGGAAACUGGGGCUAAUACCGGAUAGGAGCCCAUGUUGCAUGGUAGGGGUUGGAAAGUUUCGGCGGUUGCGGUUGGAUUAGCGGCUGAUCAGCUUGUUGGUGGGGUAGGGGAUUACCAACCCUUUGGCGGGUAGCCGGCCCGGGAGGGUGACCGGCCACAUUGGGACUAAGGUACGGACCAGAGUCCUACGGGGGGCAGCGGUGGGAAAUAUUGCACAAUGGGCGGAAGCCGGAUGCAACGGCGCCGCGUGCGUAAUGACGGCCUUCUGGGAGUAAACCGCUUCCGCCUGUGACGAAGCGUGAGUGACGGUAAUGGAUAAAGAAGCACCGGCUAACUACGUG